GAUGAACGCUGACAGAAUGCUUAACACAUGCAAGUCUACUUGAACUUCGGUUUGGGUGGCGGACGGGUGAGUAACGCGUAAAGAACUUACCUCACAGUUAGGGACAACAUUUGGAAACGAAUGCUGAUACCUGAUAUUAUGAUUUUAGGGCAUCCUAAGAUUAUGAAAGCUAUAUGCGCUGUGAGAGAGCUUUGCGUCCCAUUAGCUAGUUGGAGAGGUAACGGCUCACCAAGGCGAUGAUGGGUAGCCGGCCUGAGAGGGUGAACGGCCACAAGGGGACUGAGACACGGCCCUUACUCCUACGGGAGGCAGCAGUGGGGAAUAUUGGACAAUGGACCAAAAGUCUGAUCCAGCAAUUCUGUGUGCACGAUGACGUUUUUCGGAAUGUAAAGUGCUUUCAGUUGGGAAGAAAAAAAUGACGGUACCAACAGAAGAAGUGACGGCUAAAUACGUG
rnacentral:rRNA from 1 species